rnacentral:rRNA from 1 species
CCCUUAGACGUUCUGGGCCGAACGCGCGCUACACUGACGAAGGCAACGAGCUUUCCUUUACCGAAAGGUACGGGUAAUCUUUUGAAACUUCGUCGUGCUGGGGAUAGAUCCUUGCAAUUUUUGAUCUUAAACGAGGAAUGCCUAGUAAGCGCAAGUCAUCAACUUGCGUUGAUUACGUCCCUGCCCUUUGUACACACCGCCCGUCGCUACUACCGAUUGAAUGGUUUAGUGAGGCCUUCGGAUCCGCGACUCGUUUGUGGAGAAGUUGGACAAACUCAGUCAUUUAGAGGAAGUAAAAGUCGUAACA